AGUGAACGCUGGCGGUAGGCCUAACACAUGCAAGUCGAACGGCAGCACAGUAAGAGCUUGCUCUUACGGGUGGCGAGUGGCGGACGGGUGAGGAAUACAUCGGAAUCUACUUUUUCGUGGGGGAUAACGUAGGGAAACUUACGCUAAUACCGCAUACGACCUACGGGUGAAAGCAGGGGAUCUUCGGACCUUGCGCGAUUGAAUGAGCCGAUGUCGGAUUAGCUAGUUGGCGGGGUAAAGGCCCACCAAGGCGACGAUCCGUAGCUGGUCUGAGAGGAUGAUCAGCCACACUGGAACUGAGACACGAUCCAGACUCCUACGGGAGGCAGCAGUGGGGAAUAUUGGACAAUGGGCGCAAGCCUGAUCCAGCCAUACCGCGUGGGUGAAGAAGGCCUUCGGGUUGUAAAGCCCUUUUGUUGGGAAAGAAAAGCAGCAGGUUAAUACCCCGCUGUUCUGACGGUACCCAAAGAAUAAGCACCGGCUAACUUCGU
rnacentral:rRNA from 1 species